rnacentral:rRNA from 1 species
ACGGGGUGCAGCAGGCGCGAAAACUUUGCAAUGUGCGAAAGCACGACAAGGUUAAUCCGAGUGGCCUCUGCUGAAGAGGUCUUUUGACAGUCCUAGAAACACUGUCGAAUAAGGGGUGGGCAAGUUCUGGUGUCAGCCGCCGCGGUAAAACCAGCACCUCAAGUGGUCAGGAUGAUUAUUGGGCCUAAAGCAUCCGUAGCCGGAUCUAUAAGUUUUCGGUUAAAUCUAUGCGCUCAACGUAUAGGCUGCCGGAAAUACUGUGGAUCUAGGGAGUGGGAGAGGUAGACGGUACUCGGUAGGAAGAGGUAAAAUUCACUAAUCUAUCGAUGACCACCUGUGGCGAAGGCGGUCUACCAGAACACGUCCGACGGUGAGGGAUGAAAGCUGGGGGAGCAAACCGGAUUAGAUACCCGGUUAGUCCCAGCUGUAAACAAUGCAAACUUAAUGAUGCAUCCGGUUGAUUUCUGUGCACUGUUGCAGGGAUCCCGUUAUGUUUGUCUCUUGGGAUUUUUCGUACGCAUGUAUGAAACUUCCCUCGAUUUGGCGGGGGAGCAC